GACGAACGCUGGCGGCGUGCUUAACACAUGCAAGUCGAACGGAAAGGCCCUGCUUGCCGGGUACUCGAGUGGCGAACGGGUGAGUAACACGUGGGUGAUCUGCCCUGCACUUCGGGAUAAGCCUGGGAAACUGGGUCUAAUACCUGAUAGGUGCCCUUUUUAGUGUGAUGGUUGGAAAGUUUUUUCGGUGUUGGAUGAGCUCUCGGCCUAUCUGCUUUUUGGUGGGGUAAUGGCCUACCAAGGCGGCGACGGGUAGCCGGCCUGAGUGGGUGGACGGCCAAAUUGGGACUGAGAUACGGCCCAGACGCCGACGGGGGGCAGCAGUGGGGAAUAUUGCACAAUGGGCGCAAGCCUGAUGCAGCGACGCCGCGUGGGGGAUGACGGCCUUCGGGUUGUAAACUCCUUUCGCUAGGGACGAAGCUUUUUGUGACGGUACCUAGAUAAGAAGCACCGGCUAACUACGUG
rnacentral:rRNA from 1 species